AAAAUUAAUUUUCACAUCCAAACUAUUAAAUAAUUUGAUCUUUAUUAAAAAUUGUGAAGAAGGUACUCUAGGGAUAACAGCGUUAUAGUUAAUAAAGCUCUUAUUUAAAUAACUGUUUGCGACCCUCGAUGUUGAAUUGCGGAAUUAGUUAAAGCAGAAAUUAAACUAAUUGGGUCUGUUCGACCCUAUUA
rnacentral:rRNA from 1 species